CGGAUGCUAAAACCGGAAUAGGUAGCAGACAAGCAUUUGACUGCUAUUAAAGUGGCUAAGGCCAUGAACAUGGAUGGACCUGCGGUGCAUUAGCUAGUUGGUGAGGUAACGGCCCACCAAGGCGACGAUGCAUAGCCGGCCUGAGAGGGCGGACGGCCACAUUGGGACUGAGACACGGCCCAAACUCCUACGGGAGGCAGCAUG
rnacentral:rRNA from 1 species